rnacentral:lncRNA from 1 species
CUCGGCGAGGCUGCUGGAUUAACGUUCUCGUUCCACUCCCCCCCUCCCCCGCUUCAGAAGCUCCCCUCCACGCUCCGGUCGGGUCCCCACGGCUGCUCCUUCCCAUCUGUACCCCCGUAGAGUGCGGGGACACCCGGAGCAGCAAAGAACUGAGUCAGGAGGCCAGGACGACACGGGGACUCCAGAGACCCCCUCGGGCCGCCCCCCGAGCCCGACCGAGCUGGGGGUAGGGGUGCGGGCGCCCCGCACAGAGACGAAGGCAGCCCUGGAAAGCCGAAAGCCGGAUUUAUCUGUGGGCUUCUCACCUUUCCUGCCAGCGCUGCACCACUUUGCUGAUUGUGCUCCAUACUGGUUUCUGCUGGCAUGCAUCUGCCCUGAAUACGUUUUCCCCUUAUCCUCUUCAAUAAAUGCAGCUUCUUUGUUUUAGCAUUCGAAGUACAAUUCUUUG